GACGAACGCUGGCGGCGUGCUUAACACAUGCAAGUCGAACGGUGAAAGCGGAGCUUGCUCCGCUGGAUCAGUGGCGAACGGGUGAGUAACACGUGGGCAACCUGCCCCUCACUUCGGGAUAACUCCGGGAAACCGGGGCUAAUACCGGACAUGACCUCCUUGGGCAUCCUUGGAGGUGGAAAGUUUUUCGGUGAGGGAUGGGCCCGCGGCCUAUCAGCUUGUUGGUGAGGUAGUGGCUCACCAAGGCGACGACGGGUAGCCGGCCUGAGAGGGCGACCGGCGACACUGGGAAUGAGACAAGGCCCAGACUCCUACGGGAGGCGGCAGUGGGGAAUAUUGCGCAAUGGGCGAAAGCCUGACGCAGCAACGCCGCGUGCGGGAUGACGGCCUUCGGGUUGUAAACCGCUUUCAGCAGGGAAGAAGCCGCAAGGUGACGGUACCUGCAGAAGAAGCACCGGCUAACUACGUGCCAGCAGCCGCCGCCG
rnacentral:rRNA from 1 species